GAGAAGAACGCAGCGAAAUGCGAUACGUAAUGUGAAUUGCAGAAUUCAGUGAAUCAUCGAAUCUUUGAACGCAUAUUGCGCUCUCUGGUAUUCCGGAGAGCAUGCUUGUUUGAGUAUCAGUAAACACCUCAACUUCCAUAUCUUUUUUGAAAUGGGAGUUGGACUUGAGUGAUCCCAACGCUUUUCCUCACCGAAAAGUGGCGGGUUACUUGAAAUGCAGGUGCAGCUGGACUUUUCUCUGAGCUAUAAGCAUAUCUAUUUAGUCUGCCUAAAAAACAGAUUAUUACCUUUGCUGCAGCUAACAUAAAGGAGAUUAGUUCUUGUGCUGACUGAUGCAGGAUUCACAAAGACAGGCUUCGGCCGACUUUGUAAACUCGAUCUCAAAUCAAGUAAGACUACCCGCUGAACUUAAGCAUAUCAAUAAGCGGAGGA
rnacentral:misc_RNA from 1 species